UUUUUUAAAGACGAACAUUUUUCUGAAUCUUGAGAAUAAAAUUUUGACACAGAGAAUAAUUUUGAAAAACCCCAAACAAAUUUGGAAGCGCGAACAAUUUUUUUAAGCACGAACAUUUUUCUGAAUCUUGAGAAUAAAAUUUUGACACAGAGAAUAAUUUUGAAAAACCCCAAACAAAUUUGGAAGCGCGAACAAUUUUGAACAUUUUUAAAAUGGAAAACAAAUUUGAAAGCAUGAACAAAUUUUUGAAGCAUCAACACUUUUGGAAUCUUGAGAACAAAUUUUAAAAACGAGAACAAUUAUGAAAGAUCUGAAACAAAUCUGGAAGCACGAACAAUUAUUUAAACCCUUUGAAAUCAUGAACAAAUUUUAAAAUCAAAAAUAAUUUUCUAACAUUUUUGAAAAUGCCAAACAUUUUUUGAGAAAUCCAG
rnacentral:lncRNA from 1 species